AACGAAAAAUUCUAACCUCGACCGUAAUUACCGCGUGUCCAUCGUGGCUAAGAUCUAGUCAAAAGAUCAGCCGACCAUUCCUACGUUUAUUAAGCGAAGGCCGAACCCAUCGGGUUUGGCCGUACGUAAUACCGUACGAAACGCCGGUCGUGGUGCCGUAAGCCGUACCCACUACAGUCUCGUCACCUUACCACACAUAUAAAUACCCAGCGUCCCGAUCGACUACAGUAUGUGUUAGCCGUCUUCGCCCCCAAAUCUUCUUUCGGCGUGGCGUCUGCAUACAUUGACUUUCGUCAUUGCUACGUCGCUUACGCCGCCCGCAUAC